rnacentral:rRNA from 1 species
UACGAAAGGGGCUAGCGUUGUUCGGAAUUACUGGGCGUAAAGCGCCCGUAGGCAGCCCUGUAAGAUGGGGGUGAAAUCCCCGGGCUCAACCCGGGAACUGCCUUCAUGACUGCAAAGCUAGAGGAUGCGAGAGGUUAGCGGAAUUCCGAGUGUAGAGGUGAAAUUCGUAGAUAUUCGGAAGAACACCAGUGGCGAAGGCGGCUAACUGGCGCAUUUCUGACGCUGAGGUGCGAAAGCGUGGGGAGCAAACAGG